GUGGCAGGAAGAAGGCCAAGUCUCGGGUAGGUGGGAAUUCCACUUCCACUUACCCGUUGAGGCAGCUCAGUCGCAGCCUCAGCCUGGGGAAUUGUACGGACAGAAGGCUACUUAGUCAUGCAUGUCAAUCCGCUCAUAACGAUACGGAAAUACGCUUUUCCUGCACGGCAACUGCAAAGUAGAAUAAAUAUUUCUAAAAGACCCAAGG
rnacentral:lncRNA from 1 species